CUGGACAAUUCCACAUUGUUCUCAUCCUGCCAUGGGCAUCCGAGCCCUGUGCUGUGUGGCCCUUUGUCUCCUGCGAGUAGAGCCCACAGAUGCUGGAGUCACCCAGACACCCAGGCAUGAGGUGACAGAAGUGGGACACGCAGUAACUCUGAGUUGUGAGCCGAUUUCAGACCACACUGUGCUUUAUUGGUACAGACAGACCUUGGUGCAGGGAUUGGAGUUUCUGAUUUACUUCCUCAACCAAGCUCCUAUGGACGAGUCAGGGAUGCCCAAGGACCGAUUCUCAGCUAAGAUGCCGAAUGCAUCAUUCUCCACUCUGAAGAUCCAGCCCACAGAACCUGGGGACUCGGCCACGUACCUCUGUGCCAGCAGCAACAUCACAGGCAGAUAUGCCUAUGAGGGACCAGGGACUCUCCGAACUCCCACC